UACGGGGGGGGCAAGCGUUGUUCGGAAUUACUGGGCGUAAAGGGUUCGUAGGUGGCUUGCUAAGUCAGACGUGAAAUCCCUCAGCUUAACUGGGGAACUGCGUCUGAUACUGGCGAGCUUGAGUGCAGGAGAGGAACGCAGAAUUCCAGGUGUAGCGGUGAAAUGCGUAGAUAUCUGGAGGAAUACCGGUGGCGAAGGCGGCAUCCUGGACCAAUACUGACGCUGAGGCACGAAAGCGUGGGGAUCAAACAGG
rnacentral:rRNA from 1 species